GAUGAACGCUGGCGGCGUGCCUAACACAUGCAAGUCGAACGGAGUCCAGCCGUUAAGACCUUCGGGUCAAAGAGGGGAGGACUGAGUGGCGGACGGGUGAGUAACACGUGGGCGACCUGGCUCAUAGAGGGGGAGAACAGAGAGAAAUGUCUGCUAAUACCGCAUACGCACAUCCUGCCGCAUGGCAGAGGGUGCAAAGAGAAUCGCGAUGAGAUGGACCGGCGUCGGAUUAGCCAGUUGGCAGGGUAAGAGCCUACCAAAGCGACGAUCAGUAGCCGAGCAGCGAGGAUGCGCCGCCACAUUGGGAGUGAGACACGGCCGAGACUCCUACGGGAGGGAGCAGUGGGGGAUAGUGCACAGUGGGGGGACGGAUGAUGGAGCGACGACGUGUGAGUGACGUAGUAUUUGGGUAAGUCAAGCUCUAUCAGCAGGGAAGAUAAUGACAGUACCUGACUAAGAAGCCCCGGCUAACUACGUG
rnacentral:rRNA from 1 species